AUAAACAGCCAUAUCACCCUGCAGCCCAAGACUGGUUACUCACUGAAGCUAAGCAGGCCUGAGCCUGGUCAGUACCUAGAUGGGCACCCACAUGGGAAAACUAGGUUGCUGUUGAAA
ensembl:rRNA 5S_rRNA 5S ribosomal RNA